rnacentral:rRNA from 1 species
ACUCCUACGGGAGGCAGCAGUGGGGAAUAUUGCACAAUGGGGGAAACCCUGAUGCAGCCAUGCCGCGUGUGUGAAGAAGGCCUUCGGGUUGUAAAGCACUUUCAGUAGGGAGGAAGGUAGUGUAGUUAACACCUGCACUAUUUGACGUUACCUACAGAAGAAGCACCGGCUAACUCCGUGCCAGCAGCCGCGGUAAUACGGAGGGUGCGAGCGUUAAUCGGAAUUACUGGGCGUAAAGCGCAUGCAGGCGGCCUGUUAAGUCAGAUGUGAAAGCCCGGGGCUUAACCUCGGAAUUGCAUUUGAAACUGGUAGGCUAGAGUCUUGUAGAGGGGGGUAGAAUUUCAGGUGUAGCGGUGAAAUGCGUAGAGAUCUGAAGGAAUACCAGUGGCGAAGGCGGCCCCCUGGACAAAGACUGACGCUCAGAUGCGAAAGCGUGGGGAGCAAACAGGAUUAGAUACCCUGGUAGGAUAGCG